UAUAUUCCAGUUGUUAUGAAAAUAAUAAAUAACAAUGAGUGGUCUAGUGGAGAGAGAGCAGUUUCAUUGCCUUUAGUGGAGUGGGUUCAAUACUUGGGGAUAGUAAAUCUUUAUGUUUUUAUUUGUUAUGCUUACUAUUUUAUUUAAUUUUUUUUAUAUAACUCCUAUUAUUUAUUUUACUUUUAUAUUUUUAUUAAUUUAAUUCGAUUGUUAUUUAGUGGUUUGUAUUUUUAAAUGUUUACCUUUUAGAUUUAGUUAGUGGUUGAAUUUCC
rnacentral:lncRNA from 1 species